AAUGAACGUUGGCGGCGUGGAUUAGGCAUGCAAGUCGCACGAGAAGAACCUUUUGCUUGCAUUGGGUUCGGACAGUGGCGAAAGGGAGAGUAACGCGUGGUUACGUACCUUAGAGACCGGGAUAGCGUUGGGAAACUGGCGGUAAUACCGGAUAAUAUCUUCGGAUCAAAUGGUGUGAUUCCGCUCUAAGAUCGGACCGCGUACUAUUAGCUUGUUGGCGGGGUAAUGGCCCACCAAGGCUGCGAUGGUUACCGGGUGUGAGAGCAUGGCCCGGCUCACUGGGACUGAGACACUGCCCAGACAUCUACGGAUGGCUGCAGUCGAGAAUCUUUGUCAAUGGGCGAAAGCCUGAACAAGCGACGCCGCGUGCGGGAUGAAGGCCCUCGGGUUGUAAACCGCUGUCAGUAGUUAGGAAAUGCAUGGUGGUUAUCCAUCAUGUUUGACCGAUCUUCAGAGGAAGGACGGGCUAAGUUCG
rnacentral:rRNA from 1 species